UACAGAGGGUGCAAGCGUUGUUCGGAAUUAUUGGGCGUAAAGAGCGUGUAGGCGGCCCGGUAAGUCCGCUGUGAAAGUCGGGGGCUCAACCCUCGAAUGCCGGUGGAUACUGUCGGGCUAGAGUGCGGAAGAGGCGAGUGGAAUUCCUGGUGUAGCGGUGAAAUGCGCAGAUAUCAGGAGGAACACCAAUUGCGAAGGCAGCUCGCUGGGACGUAACUGACGCUGAGACGCGAAAGCGUGGGGAGCAAACAGG
rnacentral:rRNA from 1 species